UUCUCUAUCCGAUGAUGAUAUGUUGAAGGUCGUUCCCUUGUACGGUUUUUCCAUGAGGGAACCCCUUAACAUCAUGGCCGCGAACCAAAGGCUUCUUGAAGCUUCUAUUCGUCAGAGGGAGUUGGCGGACAUGGCGAGCCUUCGGCUCAACUCCAAGGGGAGCAGGAGAGCGCCCGAGAACUCGAAAGGCAACUAGAUGAUUCUACAGUCGAGAAAGGGAAGGUUUAAUAUUUGGAGGAGAGGAUUGUCCAUCUGGAGAACAAUGAGGCUCAGCUGAAUGCAAAGAUUACCAAUGUUGACGCUGCUACUACCAAGCUGACUCGUCAACUCGCCGAGGGAAAAGUUGAGAAGAAGAGAGCUCAAGUUUCUGCUAAGAAGUCAGGAUCGGGAUCGAUUCCUCUGAAUGAGUAGUUCAUGCCUUUUGUAGUGUU